rnacentral:rRNA from 1 species
GAACGCUGGCGGCGUGCUUUACACAUGCAAGUCGAGCGAGGCGGCCCGCAAGGGUCAGUCGAGCGGCGAACGGGUGAGUAACACGUGGAUUAUCUACCCUAAGGUGGGGAACAACCCGGGGAAACUCGGGCUGAUACCGCAUGAUACCGAAAGGUCAAAGGAGGCUCGCAAGGGCUUCCGCCAUAGGAGGAGUCUGCGUCCGAUUAGCUAGUUGGUAGGGUAAUGGCCUACCAAGGCGACGAUCGGUAGCCGGCCUGAGAGGGCGAUCGGCCACACUGGGACUGAGACACGGCCCAGACUCCUACGGGAGGCAGCAGUGGGGAAUAUUGCACAAUGGGCGAAAGCCUGAUGCAGCGACGCCGCGUGAGGGAUGAAGGCCUUCGGGUUGUAAACCUCUUUCAGCAGGGAAGAAGUGCCUGGGUUUUCUUGGGUGUGACGGUACCUGCAGAAGAAGCACCGGCUAACUACGUGCCAGCAGCCGCGGUAAUACGUAGGGUGCAAGCGUUGUCCGGAAUUAUUGGGCGUAAAGAGCUUGUAGGCGGUUUGUCGCGUCUGCUGUGAAAUUUCGGGGCUCAACCCCGAACUUGCAGUGGGUACGGGCAGACUAGAGUGUGGUAGGGGAGACUGGAAUUCCUGGUGUAGCGGUGAAAUGCGCAGAUAUCAGGAGGAACACCGAUGGCGAAGGCAGGUCUCUGGGCCACUACUGACGCUGAGAAGCGAAAGCAUGGGAGCGAA